GGUGGUUUCUUGCCUUUGAGUUCUUGAGACGUCAUUGUAGUGUCCUUAUGAUCUCACGUUGGUCCAGUCUUGUGGCCCUUCUAACUCAGUGGUAGAAAAACAUAAGAAUUACAAGCAUCACAGACCUCCCCUUUUCCUCUAACCUUGGUAUCCAAACCAAAUUUAUAGCCUUAUGCUUGCAUAGGAAUAGAGAGUAGUUUUUUGAGGGAAAUCCCUUUUGGUCAUUGAAAAAUGUUUAUUCGGCAUCUCUUGUGUCCUAGGCACGGCGAGGGUCUUUUGUGUGUUCCUUGGUCUGUUUGUCAGGGUUGGAACAUAAAGAAACUAUGGCUUUUUGGGAAGUAGCAAAGUGGUCUAUCUUCAUUUUUAUGAUAAUAAUUAUAACGAAUACUUGAAUGGAAUUUCACACUUUUAAUGUACUUUUCCUUGUGUUGCCAUUUUAAUCCUUAUCACCACCCAAUGAAGCAGAUACUAUCAUGAGUCCACUUUUUUUUUUUUUUUUUUUUUUUUUUAAACGAAGAAGCAUGUUCAGAGGAGAGGAUGAAUCGACCUGUUUGAGGUCACGCAUCUGGUGACCGUUAUGCAUGCUCAUUGGGAAAACGUUCUUUGGAGCGAGGGUUCGCGCUGUAAGGGGACGGUGUGGUCCAAACGUGCGUUAAGUUGACUGGUCCAAACGUGUGUUAAGUUGACUGGUCCAAACGUGUGUUAAGUUGACUGAGCGGUGAUGGCACAGGUAUUUGCAACCCAGGCAGGAGACGAUGAUCCCCUUGCAAAGAGUUCACCUCCCGGCCUCUUUUUUCUUCCCUCCUCUGUUUCCGGUUCUUGUUCUUGCAGAACUUCCUUAUUCCCUGUGAGCCCUUCCUCCUGCUCUUACCUCUCGGUGAAGGUGGAUGGUUGGGGCUGCUUGGACCCGUGGUGGUGGUGAUGGGGUCUGAUGGAACAGCCAUCGGCACCCCGUUGAAUCACGAGAAGCGCAUGGCCCUCCGCAGACGGGGCAGAGCGCCCCCCUCCAUUGCUCACCGCUUGCCAGCGUUUGCCCCGGUGUUUUUCAUGCUAAGCUCAUUAGUCCCUUAAUUUAAUCUUCCAUCAUUACCAGAGUCAUUAACGUCCCUCGCUGUGGAGACUUCAAAAGAACACGGCUUCAGCAGAUUCCUGCAAAUGAGCAGAUAAUAUUCAAAUAUGCUCCUCACGAGAGCUGUUACUGAUGAGGGUUUGGGUUAGUAGGGUUGGAGUGGUUGCUCUCAAGGGCUGGAGUGCAUACUUUCAUAAUAAACAUUUCUGAAGAUACUUCUGUAAGGGACAAAACAGUGUGUGGAAAACCACCUAAACUGGUAAGAGAGCUGUUUUCUUUGCUGAGAGGAGAAAAUAGAACAGGGACCAAAGUAGAAAAAAAGCACAUUUGUAGUGUAGACCACCUCCCAAAUGUAAAAAAAAAAAAAAAAAAAAGAAAAAGAAAAAAGACGCAUGGCACAGAAGGCAGGGGUGUACCAGGAAAGGAAAGGAUGGUUUCCUAGGGCUGAUGGGAACCACAGCAUCUUUGUAAAGAUUGAGGUAAUCUGGGCAUCUGGUAAUCUGGGCAUCCGUUUUGUUUUUUUUUUAAUGUUUAUUUUUGAGAGAAAAAGAGAGCAUGAACGGGGAAGGGGCAGAGAGAGAAGGAGACAGAAUCUGAUAGAGGCUCCAGGCUCUGAGCUGUCAGCACAGAGCCCCACGUGGGGGCUUGAACCCACAAGCCAUUAGAUCAUGACCCGAGCUGAAGUCGGACACUCAACUGACUGAGCCACCCAGGCACCCCUGGGCACCCUUUUUAAAAAUGAAGUCGUCUUCCUUCCUUUAUGAGGACUGUAAUAACACAGAUGUCUGGGCUCUUCCUAGGCUGGGAUUGGUCAAGAAUUCUGUUCCUUUCCUAAGCACUGAACACCAGAAAUGGGAAAUGUUCCUCUGUCCCUAAUCCUAAGGCAAGUCUUUCCGGACUCAGGCUCUGCUAUAAAGGCAUCAGGUGGUUAGAAGGAAAACCAGAGCCCCAGCAUGGGGUUUGCAGAUGUUGGAGAUGCGGGGUGGAAAGCUUGCUGCUGUGAACGUAUCCUCCACGACCCCCUGUGGCAGCUUCGAUGAGAGUCCUUGACUUCCCUGUCACGUACAGGCUUGGCAGUUUUCGUCUUAACGGCCCCCUUCACUGGGAAUUACAGUGGGAAGCUUCCCUUGAAAACCAGAAGAAGAGAUUAGUUACCCCGUGGUGGCGGCUUAGACAUUUUUGAAGUAAAAUGAGACCAAAGGAAAAGUAGGCAGACUUAACCUUUAUUAAAAAUUGUAUGUAGGGGCACCUGGGUGUUAAGUGUCCAACUCUUGAUUUCGGCUCAGGUCACGAUCUCCUGGUUCAUGAGACCGAGCCCCACGUUGGGCUCUGUGCUGACAGCGUGGAGCCGGCUUGGGAUGCUCUCUCUCCCUCUCUCUCUGCCUCACCUGCUUGCGUGCUCUCUCUCGAAAUAAAUAAUCUUUAAAAAAAAAAACUGUAGGUAGAUUUUUGGGGGGGGAUGCAUUAUCUGUCUUCUAGCUGGGAAGCAGGCAGCUAGUCCACGUGAACUCAAUGAAGGGAAUCAGAGAGAGCGAAAAACGGUCACCCUGCAGGCCUGCGGCAGAGAGAUUCAGGUCUUGGUCCCACACACAGCAUACUGUCCAAAUGGACACGUUAGACGUGGACGGGGCUGUGCUGCUUGUGUCCAUCGCUGUGGAAAAAUCUGAAUAUUUUCUCGGCCGUUCCCUAAGUAGAAGAGAGAGAAGACUAGCUCCUCCGGUGACUGGCUGUCUGACAUUAA